GUUCCUGUAGUGAAAUUAUAACGGUGGUUUUUCAAGCCAUUAGUCCUGGUUAAAGCCCUGGCAGGAACU
rnacentral:tRNA from 1 species